rnacentral:rRNA from 1 species
UACGUAGGGCGCAAGCGUUGUCCGGAAUUAUUGGGCGUAAAGAGCCCGUAGGCGGCCAGUUGCGUCUGCUGUGAAAUCCCGGGGCUCAACCCCGGGCGUGCAGUGGAUACGGGCUGGCUAGAGGCAGGCAGGGGAGAACGGAAUUCCCGGUGUAGCGGUGAAAUGCGCAGAUAUCGGGAAGAACACCCGUGGCGAAGGCGGCUCUCUGGGACGGUACUGACGCUGAGACGCGAAAGCGUGGGGAGCGAACAGG